CGGAGAGAUGGCUGAGUGGUCGAAAGCGGCUGAUUGCUAAUCCGUUGUACGAGAUUCCUUCGUACCGAGGGUUCGAAUCCCUCUCUCUCCGA
rnacentral:tRNA from 1 species